rnacentral:rRNA from 1 species
UACAGAGGGUGCAAGCGUUAUUCGGAAUUACUGGGCGUAAAGCGUGCGUAGACGGUUGCGUAAGUGAGAUGUGAAAGCCCCGGGCUCAACCUGGGAAUUGCAUUUGAGACUGCGUAGCUAGGGUGCGGAAGAGGGAAGCGGAAUUUCCGGUGUAGCGGUGAAAUGCGUAGAUAUCGGAAGGAACACCAGUGGCGAAAGCGGCUUCCUGGUCCAGCACCGACGUUCAGGCACGAAAGCGUGGGGAGCAAACAGG